rnacentral:tRNA from 1 species
GCUGGUUAGAGCACUGUGUUGAUAACGCAGGGGUCACAGGUUCGAGUCCUGUCAGGCCCA